rnacentral:rRNA from 1 species
AUACGGAGGUUCCAAGCGUUGUUCGGAAUUACUGGGCGUAAAGGGAGCGCAGGCGGGCAAGUCAGUCUGAAGUGAAAUCCCGGGGCUCAACCUCGGACUUGCUUCGGAUACUACUUGUCUUGAGUUCGUGAUAGGAAGAUGGAAUUCAGGGUGUAGCGGUGAAAUGCACAGAUAUCCUGAGGAACACCGGUGGCGAAAGCGGUCUUCUGGCGCGAAACUGACGCUGAGGCUCGAAAGCGUGGGUAGC